rnacentral:lncRNA from 1 species
GAGAUCAAAUCUAUUCUUAGUAGCUGCACCAAAGAAGUCGCCCUGCCCAUGCCAUGGUGGUGGUGUUGGAUGUGAAGCCCAAGCCGGUCCAAGUCUUCUUCCGCGGUCCAGAAACCAGAUCUGAACCCCUCCCCUCUCGCUGCGUCCCUCCCUCCUUCAGAUCCAGUCUUCCCCCUCCCCUUCUUCUUCUUCUUCUCGCGAAGAGAAGCGAGGGACGAUGGGGAGCAAAUAGAGAAGCCACAGAUCUCAUCUCGAUCCCCCGUCGACGCCUCCGUCUCCUCCCCCCCGUCGACGCCUCCGUCUCCUCCCCCCCGUAGUCGCCUCUCCACUCCCAGAUCUGACCGGUGUCCCUUGAAUUCGGGGGGAAUGGCUUCCGCGGAAGCCGAUUCCCGCGUCGCCCUCCUCCUCGUCCCCGCCCUCGAGAAGAUCGUCAAGAAUGCGUCCUGGCGCAAGGGCCACUCCAAGCUCGCCCACCAGUGCAAGUCCCUCAUCGACCGCCUCUCCCACCCGCCUUCCUCCCCGCCACCGUCCUCCCCCAACUCCUCCUCCUCCCUCCCCGGGCCCCUCCGCGACGGCGGCGCUGCCGUCUACUCCCUCGCCGAUUCCGAGACCUACCUCGCGCCCCUCGUAGCCGCCUGCACCUCUGGCUCCCCCCGCGUCGCCGAGCCCGCUAUCGAUUGCGUCCAGAAACUGAUCGCUCAUUCCUACCUCUACGGCGAGGCCGACCCCUCCGGCGGCCCCGACGCCCGCCUCCUCGCGGAGCUGGUCGAGGCCGUUUGUGGAUGUUACGCCCUCGGGGGAGCCGAGGACGCCCUCGAACUGCUCGUCCUCAAGACCCUCCUCUCCGCCGUCACCUCGACCGCCCUCCGCAUCCAC